CGUUAAUAGCAGAGCCAAAUCUAUUUGUUUCGAAAAGCGUCGGCCUGCUAUGCAGCUGCUUCGAACACUAAUUUCUGCAAAUAACUUAAGGUUUCAUUUGCAAGAAGAUUCCAUACACAGAAACCUUCUUAGAAGGAAAGGUCAACAAGAGAAUCAAGUCAAAUAAUGGACUGCGUUUAUGUCCCUAACUGCGAGCGAAAUAAACACAAUGGUAGUAAUAUUUACCGCAUACACCGCGGUGUCAAAUUAAAAUCUCAUAUUUGAAGUGACAGCAAUCCUUAGAGUAAGCCUUUAAGGACCGCCCAAAUUUAAAUCGACCUGAAUGUUUGAAAAUAUUGCGCUGUAAUGUAUUAGGAAAGCCGCAAAACAAGCUGUACGAAGCUUACGAUUACUGAAGACCCACGGAAAGUUAGAAAUGCUUUUCUUCACAUGGCAAACUUGAAUUAAAAAAUCUUGCACUUUGCGCGACAAUUAAUUCAACUAUUUACGAAUUACAGCGUCAAGCCAGAAAAGCACCCUGUUGUGCCGUUCAUUUAUCCUUAAUCGAACAGCGUAUAGAUAUUCUAAAGAAGGUGAAAAAACAAAAGUUGCUUGCUCUCAAUUUAAAUCUGUACAGAUGUCAAGUACUACAGAGUAAUCGAAAACAAUUAACGAAAAAGCGACUUUGACAAAUGUUUGACUGAGGGGCUGUAGUCGUUGUCAGGUACUUCUGGGUUCGAUUUCGGUGCAGCGCAAGCUUCCUCAAAACUGACUGAAAGAACGAUAAAUGCAAAUUUGUACAUGAAAAGGAAACUGUGUUACAUGAACAUCCAAGUGAUCUGCAUUCAAAUACGACAUUGUUGAAACUGAUACAGAUUACAUGCUAGAUUUCAAGCACGGAAAUUAUCAAUGACUGUUAUUAAAUGACUUCCUCAGCCCACGACCACCGACGUAAGCGACGCCAUGUUUGUUUGGGUCAGAUAACGCCACUUAUCAACAGAUACAGAUCCCACAGCUCAUAUACGAUAACAAAGUGUCAUUUGAAGAGUCCACAAAUGAAGGAAAUAGUAAAAGCGAUAUCUCACGAAACGUCAAACAUGCUUCGUUGAUGGACAGACCUGGAGGCCAAGCAAGCUGACCAAACCCAAGUGCACUAAGGAUUUCAUCCUUGGCAAAGUUGGCUCCUUGCGCUUUGUGACAUGAAAAUCAAGACGACCAACCCAUUAUGGGCUUUCAAGGUGGUAGUCGUGUUGCAGAUCAUAGAAACAUUCGGUAUGGCAUUCUACAACCAUAAAUGAGCCUUUAAAAGGUCAAGUAGUGGCAAAUACCAGCGAAGAGGUUCAUUGCCAAGUGAAAUCGAGUCCAAGUUUUCAUUUCAGAGUUCGUGUUUGUGUUUUUGAGUAGACGUCGUUCUGGAGAACGGCAACAACAGAGCUGCAGAAAGAACAAUGUGGUAGGGAACAGUGUAGCUUCAGUCACCUCUAUUUUGUAUUCUUCUUAAUUUCAUUUCAAUUCCAUGCCUUGGACGUGUUGGGCGUUUUAUCUCUUAUUUUGCUGUUAUUAGGACGUGAUAUAGCAAAGCAAAAGAUAUUAAGUUUUGAUUCUUAUCAUAAAUUGGAGACUAUUGGAAUUAUAAGCAUUGCUCAAAUAAAUAAAAAAAAAAAACGACAACAGUGAAUUAGAUGAGGUUUAAGAAUCAAAACGUGCAGUUUUAAGAAUGUAGAAAUAAUAAAGGUAUGACUUUUAAACAUCAAAUUAAGAGACUGUGCUGAUGUGCAAGUUUUCUCAGUAAAUCGCCAGAAAAAAUCUCAAAAUCCAAGGAUGAGACAACUACCAUCGGUUAAGUUGAGGAAAAAACAUUGCAUCAUAUAAUAAGAAAUUUGUAUUGCCGGGUGUAUUGAAGUAAAAUACAUCUCAAGUACAACUGAAAGUUCAUGUCACUGGCAAAAUUGAAAGCCGCCUAUCUCGGCUAACACGAUAUAUGGCACUGUCAAGCUACUUCCGCAGCAACACAGUGAGGGUGAUGCAUUGCCGGCAUUGCACAGUCUGUAAAAGGGUACAACAAACUAUCAACGAGAUCAUUUAAGGGUAACACGAUACAAUUCCUGCAAGCCAACUGCAAGCAAACAAACCCCUGGAUUCCUAGUGGAAAUAGGGGAGCUACGAGCUUCAGUCUUCGCAAAUCCUGAGUGCCACGGCAAAAUAGUCGAGUCAUGAAUAUAGAACACAGACGGAAGCAUUCCCUUUUAAUUGGAUUAAGAUCGAAUUGAGAGGUGUUCAACUGAAGCAUAUUAACUUAACUAAUGAGGAGCUUGAGGAUUACAAAUCUGCUAAAGAGCCUUGUUUAGUUGUGUUAAAGCAAAUGGACCACUGAGUACUGAGGUUUUACACUCAAAUAUACCAUAAGUGCUGCAUGCAUGUAUAUUGAUCAGUUCAGCAAGUAAUUCCAAAUUCCUUCUCAAUUCAUUUCCCCACAGAUAAAUGACAAAUUAUAUGGCUAUCAUGAUUCAGGGCUGAAAAUACGACUUAGGUGAAGGCAUUCAUCCAAAUAAUUCUGUCGGCCAUCCGGAGCAUGUUGAUCAAACAUUGAAACUCGGAUAUUCUAUCACCAUGCAGUUACAAGGUGAACUGUCUCAAUAAUUCCAGCAAAAGCCAUCGUACCGUAGCUGAAACUGUUACUUAAGACUGUCUGCUAACAAGAGCCAAGUACUCUACAGAAGUGGAUUACACUAACACACCGUUGAGUUUAACUGAAUACCUUGCCUUUUCACUUAGGCUUGCGUCUAAGUAUUAUUAAUGGCUUGAACGAGAGACGUGCUUUGCUGAUCCACGGCUGAGAAUUGCGGCCAGGAUUUUUGAUACGUUCUGUCAACACGUGCCUUAAUGGAAGGUUUAAAUUGCGAAGGAUUCAUUAAACAUAAUUUCAUCAGCUCAGAAAACUGCAUUUUAAAAAAAUCUAUUGUAGCUCAAGUUUACGAAAAACAAGUAAUUCCUUUCAUUCGCCUUGGUAGAAUUAUCAUGAAGACUGAGUAGAUUUCCCACAUUUAGAUCGUCGGUAAUUCUAGGGUAAUAUCGAAGGCGCCCUUGCCGUAAUUUCACCGUGAAUGGACCUGAAAAGCAUCGACGACUGUGUUUCCAAUAACCUUCUUGAAAGUGUCGUGUUUUAAAACUGCAAAGCCAUUUUAUUUUCAUCGCAUUCGGUGGCUUAACUAGACUCAAGACUAAGAAAAGACGGAUACCAGUCCGCAAUUCGUUGUAUCUUAGUGAACGUUUCGUUACAUUUUCAAAACAAAACGAAGUGUUCAUUAUAUUUCAUGAAGUAAUGACGAGCUUUUUUUUCUCAAAAUAUGUGACUGAGAGUGCGCAAAUUAUAGUGCACAGAUGUUCAGCAUGCCUUUUCGUUGACUGAUGGUUAAUGUAUCUUAGACCGUCUAAAGCUAAAGCCGGCCUAUGAGACAGGAAACAAUAAAAAUGACCCGAUUUCUUCAACAAAUAUCUGUAAUUUACACCCAUUUCUAGUUGUAUUAUUUUUACUAUUACUUAUUUUAAAGGAAGGUCUUUUUUCUACGAUAUUAUAGUAAACCAAAAAUUUCUGUGGAUUCAAGGCAAUUUUUCAAUAGUUAUCUGAUCCGAUCUUUAAUGUUUUUCUCUGAAGUUCACACACGAACGAACUUAAAAUAGGGCGCAUAAUAAGAACUACUAAUUGCAAUGCAAAAAGGCGACCAUUUGGGAACCGCAACAAUAUCUGGCGCAAAAGCUAAAAAUUCCACUUAAGUAAGUGCUCUUCUUGUUUGUUUUUGAUAUCUUAGUUCGAGAUAAAAUCAAUAUGAGCCUCGAUUUUGCCCUGAUUUCAGGUACGAUACGUGAUAGACAGUAAUUACUGAGAUUUCAACCAAAUGCGACGCAUCUGCUACUAGACGGUGAAAUACAACUCCAUAUGCAAAUAUUGCGUGAGAAUCACCAGAAAAUAUUUCGCUUUGCGAAGGCUAAAGGCAAUUUUCAAUUGAUGAUUGCAACUACCCUUACCAGAUAUGGUGUGAAUUUCCUAAAAUAAAAUUGUUUAUUCUGAUAUUUAAAGCGCUUUAUGUUCAUAUCGGUUUUGUUUGGUUUCGGAUGUAUUACUGCAAAUACCUCUUUUCCGGUGCUUUUAGGUGUCAUAAAAGCUUUCAGAUAGCGAUAAUCUACCGAUACGACAGACCAUCAAAAACUGAGGCUAGACAUUUUCAUAGCCUUGAACUCCAGGCGAUUAAUGGGAAAUUUGCGCAAAGCUUUUUGUUCUGUUCUAUUUUAUUUUUAUCAAGUUUUCCUCGGCAGUAGCCAUUUGAGAUUUCUCGGGAUUUGGACGCAGAUAACCUUUUAAAGAUAGAUAUAGCUGUUUGCAUUAUCUGCGCUUCAGUUUGGCAAAUAUUUGGACGAUGCCCUGUAACUGACAGAUCGAUAAGCUUAAAGUGUUUUCUUCUUAAAUCUCCUGUCGAGAAAUGUCUCCGCAUUCUUCGGAGUUAUUGAGCUAAACCGCACCUGACAAACUUUGACCCGAGGUUUUCUCUGAGCGUUGAUAGCGUAUCUUUUACAAUAAGACUUUCACUCGGCUGUUAUCUCCUAAAAAAACCUUUGAAUCGAGAUUCGAAACAUCUGCUCAGCGCUGCUACCCAAAAAAUAAGUUCUCAAGGCUAGAUUUUAGUUUUUGGAGUUGCCGCUAAUAGAACCAACGAAAAGGCCAAACGUGAUUUGAUUAAUUCUCCGCCAUCACUAAGUGAUUGCAGCCAUUAGAGACAUUUUUGGCCCCGAACUUUUCACGAUGACCGCUCUGUUUACAGUUGAGGCGUAUUACACGUAGACAUUAUGAUAAUUAACCAUUGUUGGGUGGCAAUCAUUAAGAGUGCAUUUGACAUAAGUUUGACAUCUUUAUCGAUAAAGCAACCCUCACAGCAAUGUAACGCAAAACGGUAUUCAGUCCUUUGAGGGCACUGUUUGGACGCCAUUUGUAGCAAAGAAGAAUAGAAAUAGUAAGCAAUUAGCGCGCUUUUAACAAACCCUAAGGCCAAGUGCUAAUCGUUAUAACACGCUGUCACUUUCAGGCUGUUUCUACAAAGGGAUCUAUUAGCGAGUUUCUUUUUCUUCUUUUUUUUCAAAUGCUAAUCGAGUGGUUGAAAAUAGUUCGAAAAGACGAGUUAGCAAGGAAUAGUGUCAAUGGAUACGAACAAAAGAUUUUCCAUUAAUGUAAAGGCACAACAGCUGAAUGGGAGAUGACACUAACGCAAAACAGCUCACUUAGCGCGGGCUGAAAAGAAAAAAAAAGCUACAGCCCCAAAAAGAAACCCCAAAACUAAUAUCCAGUAAACCGAUCGCGUAUUACUGUAAUAUAGAUUACAAGAGAACAGUAAAUACUCAUUGUAUUCGAACAACUUUACUAUUUUCUCUGUCAAUCCUUCUCUUUUAAACUGAUGAUAGCGACUUAAAAUCCGUCGCAUCAUCAAAACAUGAAAAUGUCAGCCACGAUGCGUUGCAUUUCUUUUCUUUCUUUUUUUUUUUUUUCAAGUCAUCCAACAUCUAGUAGCCCGGUACGAAGAGAUUUUAUGUUACAAGAACUGCGCCCAUCGCAUAUUAUAUUUAUAUAUUUGAACAUUUACAACGAUAUUUCUCUGUACAACAAUUCAAAAUUCGGCAAUAAACUUUAUGUAGCUUUUUCAAGUGUUCCUCUUGCAUGUAUUAUUUUUUAAGAGAGUGUUGCGCUUCGUUUUGGCUCCACAAACCAAUAUUAAAUAUCUGCCAUCCACAGCGUUCGUUAUUUCUUUUUCUUUUCUUGUAGUCAGUCGUCCUCUGCUUCUCUCUUUGAUUGUUCGAAAGCGUUGUUUUUAAAUUUUUCUUCUGAGAUUCACUCGCCUUUGCGUAGGUCGUCUGUUGAACUGGAAA